GCAGUCGCUGCUUUGGGUUAAGUGUUCAUAACCCACAGUGGCCAUUGGGUGCCAUUGGGAUCCAUUGGGUGCCAUUGGGAUCCAUUGGGUGCCAUUGGGAUCCAUUGGGUGCCAUUGGGUGCUGUUGGGAUCCAUUGGGUGCCAUUGUGUGCCUUUGGGUGCCAUUGGGUGCCAUUGAUGCCCCAUUGGGUGCCAUUCAUGACCCACAGUGGCCAUUGAGUGCCAUUGGGUGCUGUUGGGAUCCAUUGGGUGCCACUGGGUGCUGUUGGGAUCCAUUGGGUGCCAUUGAUGCCCCAUUGGGUGCCAUUCAUAACCCACAGUGGCCAUUGGGUGCCAUUGGGUGUCUUUGGGUGCCAUUGGGUGCCAUUGAUGACCCACAGAGGCCAUUGGGUGCCACUGGGUGCUGUUGGGAUCCAUUGGGUGCCAUUGAUGCCCCAUUGGGUGCCAUUGAUAACCCACAGAGGUCAUUGGGUGCCUAUGGGUGCCAUUGGGUGCCAUUGAUGCCCCAUUGGGUGCCAUUCAUAACCCACAGUGGUCAUUGGGUGCCAUUGGGAUCCAUUGAGUGCCAUUGGGUGCCACUGAUGACCCAUUGAGGCCCAUGGUGGCCUUUGGGUGCCAUUGGGUGCCGCUGGGUACCAUUGGGUGCCAUUGAUGCCCCAUUGGGUGCCAUUCAUGACCCACAUGGCCAUUGGGUGUCUUUGAGUGCCAUUGGGUGCUGUUGGGAUCCAUUGGGUGCCACUGGGUGCCAUUGGGUGCCACUGGGUGCUGUUGGGAUCCAUUGGGUGCCAUUGAUGCCCCAUUGGGUGCCAUUCAUAACCCACAGUGGUCAUUGGGUGCCAUUGGGAUCCAUUGAGUGCCAUUGGGUGCCACUGAUGACCCAUUGAGUGCCAUUGAGGCCCAUGGUGGCCUUUGGGUGCCAUUGGGUGCCGCUGGGUACCAUUGGUGGCCAUUGGGUGCCAUUGGG
ensembl:lncRNA